rnacentral:rRNA from 1 species
GACGAACGCUGGCGGCGUGCUUAACACAUGCAAGUCGAACGGAAAGGCCUCUUUCGGGGGGUACUCGAGUGGCGAACGGGUGAGUAACACGUGAGUAACCUGCCCUUGACUUUGGGAUAACUUCAGGAAACUGGGGCUAAUACCGGAUAGGAGCUCCUGCUGCAUGGUGGGGGUUGGAAAGUUUCGGCGGUUGGGGAUGGACUCGCGGCUUAUCAGCUUGUUGGUGGGGUAGUGGCUUACCAAGGCUUUGACGGGUAGCCGGCCUGAGAGGGUGACCGGCCACAUUGGGACUGAGAUACGGCCCAGACUCCUACGGGAGGCAGCAGUGGGGAAUAUUGCACAAUGGGUGGAAGCCUGAUGCAGCAACGCCGUGUGCGGGAUGACGGCCUUCGGGUUGUAAACCGCUUUCGCUCAUGACGAAGCUUUGUGUGACGGUAGUGGGUAAAGAAGCACCGGCUAACUACGC